UAUUGCCUCCCUCAGGUGGCCACAUUCGGAACUAGAUUGCGACAUAAAAUUACAUAGGCAAUGUUUUGGAAAGAAUAAGGUUUUGCUGAGAUGUAGUUACAUGAGCAUUGUGCUACACGUAAAUACGUUUUGAUGGUGGUAGGACAAUUUUCCGACUUUUUUAAUGUGGAUUUCCAGGCUAAGGUUGUGCAUGAGCUGUUCCAUGGAUCACCUGAAUGAAACUUAUGGACCUAGCUUUGGGAACCUCUGAUGUACAGCAAAAAGAGUAUUGUGUAAUAUAGUAGACCAUCUUCCAGCACGUUCAUGAUCACUUACACACAAGACUACUUGCUUGCUAAUAUUUACAUGGAUCUUAAAGAAACAGAAUAUGAGAGUGUAGAAUGGAUGUAACUGGCUGAGGAUCAGUUCCAGUUGUAGGCAUGUGAACAUGAUAAUUAACUGAAGAUUGCUGUCUUCUGGGAUGUUGCGCCAUGUAGUAUGAUAGAUGUCCACCAACGUUUCAGAGGUCAUGCUGCCUCCGUCAUCAGGGUGAUGAAUCAUUGUUGUAAUUGACUGUAAUGUGUGACAGUAAAGGCAAUGUGAUAAAAAUAAAAAAAUGGUUUAAUGAAUCAAGAAUGAAACAUGUCAUUUUAGGGAUAAGGCACAUGGUUAACAGAAGUUGGUGUUUAGCUCAUAUAUAUACAAACAGUGCAACUAUGCAUGAGUCAUAACCUCACAAAUCAGAAUCUACUCUAAACAUUUUUUUAGAUAGUAAAGAUAUAUUACAAAACUACAUCUUUGGUGCUUUAUAAGGUGGGUUGAAAUCAGUACAAAUUACGUUGGACUUACACCGUUCUUACCAGGCAGUAAAUGUAUUGUAUGAAUAACUUAAAUAAACUUCAUAAAUACAAAUUA